rnacentral:rRNA from 1 species
AAUUAAUUCAACAUCGAGGUCGCAAACAUAAUUAUUAAUAAGAACUUGUUAAAUAUAUUACGCUGUUAUCCCUAGAGUAACUUCUUAAAUAACCAUUUUAAUACCAAUUAAAAAUCCUUAUCUUCAAUUAUUGCCCCAAUCAAAAAUUUUAAAAUUUUAAGCUUCUAGGGUCUUCUCGUCCCAAAAACUAAUAAAAGAAUUUUUACUUUUAAUUUAAAUUCAAAAUAAUUAAAUAAAACCUACCUUUAAAAUUUCUACCUUUCAUUCCAGACCCCAAUUAAAGAA